AUGGAGAAGCACCGAGACUCGGAGCAACAGGGAGCAUCACUGCCAUUGCAAGACACUUCCAGGGACGAAUGCAGCUUUAGGACUGCCCAGGCCGAUGUACCUUGCACCCAUGUGCCUAGAGAGUUGGCAGGUGAAAGGCAGGGCCUGAUUGGAACUGGUGUAGCAUUCAUUGGGGAGCGCCAGUGCAGGCAAACAUUGCGACCUGCUCCUUGUGUAGUAGUCUAUGCCAGAGCGAUGCAUCGCCAACCACCGUCUGUCGCAUCAAGUACUCCACUUGCAGCCAAAGCAGCGCCAUCAAGAGGGGAACAACGUUGA
rnacentral:rRNA from 1 species